GAUUAGCUUGUUGGUGAGGUAACGGCUCACCAAGGCGACGAUCCCUAGCUGGUCUGAGAGGAUGACCAGCCACACUGGAACUGAGACACGGUCCAGACUCCUACGGGAGGCAGCAGUGGGGAAUAUUGCACAAUGGGCGCAAGCCUGAUGCAGCCAUGCCGCGUGUAUGAAGAAGGCCUUCGGGUUGUAAAGUACUUUCAGCGGGGAGGAAGGUGUUGUGGUUAAUAACCGCAGCAAUUGACGUUACCCGCAGAAGAAGCACCGGCUAACUCCGUGCCAGCAGCCGCGGUAAUACGGAGGGUGCAAGCGUUAAUCGGAAUUACUGGGCGUAAAGCGCACGCAGGCGGUCUGUCAAGUCGGAUGUGAAAUCCCCGGGCUCAACCUGGGAACUGCAUUCGAAACUGGCAGGCUUGAGUCUUGUAGAGGGGGGUAGAAUUCCAGGUGUAGCGGUGAAAUGCGUAGAGAUCUGGAGGAAUACCGGUGGCGAAGGCGGCCCCCUGGACAAAGACUGACGCUCAGGUGCGAAAGCGUGGGGAGCAAACAGGAUUAGAUACCCUGGUAGUCCACGCCGUAAACGAUGUCUACUUGGAGGUUGUGCCCUUGAGGCGUGGCUUCCGGAGCUAACGCGUUAAGUAGACCGCCUGGGGAGUACGGCCGCAAGGUUAAAACUCAAAUGAAUUGACGGGGGCCCGCACAAGCGGUGGAGCAUGUGGUUUAAUUCGAUGCAACGCGAAGAACCUUACCUGGUCUUGACAUCCACGGAAGUUUUCAGAGAUGAGAAUGUGCCUUCGGGAACCGUGAGACAGGUGCUGCAUGGCUGUCGUCAGCUCGUGUUGUGAAAUGUUGGGUUAAGUCCCGCAACGAGCGCAACCCUUAUCCUUUGUUGCCAGCGGUCCGGCCGGGAACUCAAAGGAGACUGCCAGUGAUAAACUGGAGGAAGGUGGGGAUGACGUCAAGUCAUCAUGGCCCUUACGACCAGGGCUACACACGUGCUACAAUGGCGCAUACAAAGAGAAGCGACCUCGCGAGAGCAAGCGGACCUCAUAAAGUGCGUCGUAGUCCGGAUUGGAGUCUGCAACUCGACUCCAUGAAGUCGGAAUCGCUAGUAAUCGUGGAUCAGAAUGCCACGGUGAAUACGUUCCCGGGCCUUGUACACACCGCCCGUCACACCAUGGGAGUGGGUUGCAAAAGAAGUAGGUAGCUUAACCUUCGGGAGGGCGCUUACCACUUUGUGAUUCAUGACUGGGGUGAAGUCGUAACAAGGUAACCGUAGGGGAACCUGCGGUUGGAUCACCUCCUUACCUUAAAGAAGC
rnacentral:rRNA from 1 species